AAGUUUUGAUCCUGGCUCAGGAUGAACGCUAGCUACAGGCUUAACACAUGCAAGUCGAGGGGCAGCAUCAUCAAAGCUUGCUUUGAUGGAUGGCGACCGGCGCACGGGUGAGUAACACGUAUCCAACCUGCCGACAACACUGGGAUAGCCUUCCGAAAGAAAGAUUAAUACCGGAUGGCAUAAUUAUUCCGCAUGGGAUAAUUAUUAAAGAAUUUCGGUUGUCGAUGGGGAUGCGUUCCAUUAGG
rnacentral:rRNA from 1 species